UUUAAUUGAAGAGUUUGAUCAUGGCUCAGAUUGAACGCUGGCGGCAGGCCUAACACAUGCAAGUCGAGCGGUAACAGAAAAGAAGCUUGCUUCUUUUGCUGACGAGCGGCGGACGGG
rnacentral:rRNA from 1 species